rnacentral:tRNA from 1 species
CGGGCAGCAGUUCAGAGAGUAGAACCCUCGUCUCGUGAGCGAGAGACUCGGGUUCAACUCCAGGCUGCUCCG